rnacentral:tRNA from 2 species
GGAGAGGUCGCCUAGAGGCUUAGGGCGCACGCCUGGAAAGCGUGUAGGGGACUCCCCUCGUGGGUUCGAAUCCCACCCUCUCCG